UACGUAGGGGGCGAGCGUUGUCCGGAUUCAUUGGGCGUAAAGAGCUCGUAGGCAGCUUGGCAAGUCGGGUGUGAAAACUCCAGGCUCAACCUGGAGACGCCACCCGAUACUGCCAUGGCUUGAGUCCGGUAGGGGACCACGGAAUUCCUGGUGUAGCGGUGAAAUGCGCAGAUAUCAGGAGGAACACCGGUGGCGAAGGCGGUGGUCUGGGCCGGUACUGACGCUGAGGAGCGAAAGCGUGGGGAGCGAACAGG
rnacentral:rRNA from 1 species